UACGGAGGGUGCAAGCGUUAAUCGGAAUUACUGGGCGUAAAGGGCGUGUAGGCGGUUUGUUAAGUCUGGCGUGAAAGCUCUCGGCUAAACCGGGAGAGGUCGUUGGAUACUGGCGAACUAGAGGAUGGUAGAGGCGUGUGGAAUUCCGGGUGUAGUGGUGAAAUGCGUAGAGAUCCGGAGGAACACCAGUGGCGAAGGCGACACGCUGGGCCAUACCUGACGCUAAAGCGCGACAGCAUGGGGAGCAAACGGG
rnacentral:rRNA from 1 species